rnacentral:rRNA from 1 species
AACUAACGCUGGCGGCGCGUCUUAAACAUGCAAGUCGAGCGGUAAGGCCCGCAAGGGUACACGAGCGGCAAACGGGUGAGUAACACGUAGGUAAUCUUCCCUUCAGUGGGGGACAACCUGCCGAAAGGCAGGCUAAUACCCCAUAUUUUCAGUCCUUCCACGGUGGGAUUGUAGAAAGCAGCAAUGCGCUGAAGGAUGAGCCUGCGGCUGAUUAGCUUGUUGGCGGGGUAACGGCCCACCAAGGCGACGAUCAGUAGCCGGCCUGAGAAGGUGUCCGGCCACACUGGGACUGAGACACGGCCCAGACUCCUACGGGAGGCAGCAGUUAAGAAUCUUGCGCAAUGGGCGCAAGCCUGACGCAGCGACGCCGCGUGCGCGAUGAAGGCCUUCGGGUUGUAAAGCGCAAUAGACAGGGAAGAAGAAAGUGACGGUACCUGUUGAAAGCACCGGCUAACUACGUG